rnacentral:rRNA from 1 species
GCGGCCUAUCAGCUUGUUGGAGGGGUAACGGCCCACCAAGGCAACGACGGGUAGCUGGUCUGAGAGGAUGGUCAGCCACACUGGGACUGAGACACGGCCCAGACUCCUACGGGAGGCAGCAGUGGGGAAUCUUGCGCAAUGGGCGAAAGCCUGACGCAGCAACGCCGCGUGCGGGAAGAAGGCUUUCGGGCUGUAAACCGCUUUCAGUGGGAACGAAACUGACGGUACCCACAGAAGAAGGAGCGGCCAACUAUGUGCCAGCAGCCGCGGUGAUACAUAGGCUCCAAGCGUUGUCCGGAUUUAUUGGGCGUAAAGAGCUCGUAGGCGGUUGAGUAAGUCGGGUGUGAAAACUUUGGGCUUAACCCAAAGAUGCCACUCGAUACUGUUUAACUAGAGUUCGGUAGGGGAGACUGGAAUUCCU